AGUGAACGCUGGCGGCAUGCCUAACACAUGCAAGUCGAACGGCAGCUCAGUAAGAGCUUGCUCUUACGGGUGGCGAGUGGCGGACGAGUGACGAAUGCAUCGGAUUCUACUUUUUCGUGGGUGAUAACGUAGGGCAACUUCUGCUAACACCGCAUAUGACCUACGGGUGUAAGCACGCGUUCUUCGGACCUUUCGCGAUUGUAUUAGCCGAUGUCGGAUUAGCUAGUUGGCUGGGUAAAGGCCCACCAAGGCGACGAUCCGUAGCUGGUCUGAGAGGAUGAUCAGUCACACUGGAACUGAGACACGGUACAGACUCCUACGGGAGGCAGCAGUAGGGAAUCUUGGGCAAAGGGCGAAAGCCUGAUCCAGCAAUACCGCGUGAGUGAUGAAGGACUUCGGGUUGUAAAGCCCUGUUGUUGGGAAAGAAAAAAAGCAGGUUUAUCCACGGCUGUUCUGACGGUACCGAAAGAAUAAGCACCGGCUAACUUCGUG
rnacentral:rRNA from 1 species